rnacentral:rRNA from 1 species
AGAGUUUGAUCCUGGCUCAGGAUGAACGCUGACAGAAUGCUUAACACAUGCAAGUCAACUUGAACUUCGGUUUGGGUGGCGGACGGGUGAGUAACGCGUAAAGAACUUGCCUCACAGAUAGGGACAACAUUUGGAAACGAAUGCUAAUACCUGAUAUUAUGAUUUUAGGGCAUCCUAGAAUUAUGAAAGCUAUAUGCGCUGUGAGAGAGCUUUGCGUCCCAUUAGCUAGUUGGAGAGGUAACGGCUCACCAAGGCGAUGAUGGGUAGCCGGCCUGAGAGGGUGAUCGGCCACAAGGGGACUGAGACACGGCCCUUACUCCUACGGGAGGCAGCAGUGGGGAAUAUUGGACAAUGGACCAAGAGUCUGAUCCAGCAAUUCUGUGUGCACGAUGAAGUUUUUCGGAAUGUAAAGUGCUUUCAGUUGGGAAGAAAAAAAUGACGGUACCAACAGAAGAAGUGACGGCUAAAUACGUGCCAGCAGCCGCGGUAAUACGUAUGUCACAAGCGUUAUCCGGAUUUAUUGGGCGUAAAGCGCGUCUAGGUGGUUAUGUAAGUCUGAUGUGAAAAUGCAGGGCUCAACUCUGUAUUGCGUUGGAAACUGUGUAACUAGAGUACUGGAGAGGUAAGCGGAACUACAAGUGUAGAGGUGAAAUUCGUAGAUAUUUGUAGGAAUGCCGAUGGGGAAGCCAGCUUACUGGACAGAUACUGACGCUGAAGCGCGAAAGCGUGGGUAGCAAACAGGAUUAGAUACCCUGGUAGUCCACGCC